rnacentral:sRNA from 1 species
AAAAAAUUCAAGAAGAAGAAA